rnacentral:rRNA from 1 species
AUUGAACGCUGGCGGCAUGCCUUACACAUGCAAGUCGAACGGCAGCACGGGAGCAAUCCUGGUGGCGAGUGGCGAACGGGUGAGUAAUAUAUCGGAACGUGCCCAGUCGUGGGGAUAACGUAGCGAAAGCUACGCUAAUACCGCAUACGAUCUAUGGAUGAAAGCGGGGGGAUCGCAAGACCUCGCGCGAUUGGAGCGGCCGAUAUCAGAUUAGGUAGUUGGUGAGGUAAAGGCUCACCAAGCCGACGAUCUGUAGCUGGUCUGAGAGGACGACCAGCCACACUGGGACUGAGACACGGCCCA